rnacentral:rRNA from 1 species
AUUGAACGCUGGCGGCAUGCUUUACACAUGCAAGUCGGACGAGUCGCGAACGGGUGAGUAAUAUAUCGGAACGCACCGAGUAAUGGGGGAAAUCUAAUCGAAAGUUUAGCUAAUACCGCAUAUUAUUCGAGCGGCCGAUAUCAGAUUCGCUAGUUGGUGGGGUAAAGGCAUACCAAGGCGACGAUCAGUAGCGGGUCUGAGAGGAUGAUCCGCCACACUGGGACGGCGACACGGCCCAGACUCCUACGGGAGGCAGCAGUGGGGAAUGUUGGACAAUGGGCGCAAGCCUGAUCCAGCCAUGCCGCGUGUCUGAAGAAGGCCUUCGGGUUGUAAAGGACUUUUGUCAGGGAAGCGGUACCUGAAGAAUAAGCACCGGCUAACUACGUGCCAGCAGCCGCGGUAAUAC